GGGGGAAGGGCGAGCGUGGAUCCAGCCAUGCCGCGGUGGUGUGAAGAAGGCCUUUUGGUUGUAAAGCACUUUAAGCGAGGAGGAGGCUCUUGGAUUAAUACUCUAGGAUAGUGGACGUUACUCGCAGAAUAAGCCCGGCUAACUCUGUGCCAGCAGCCGCGGUAAUACGAA
rnacentral:rRNA from 1 species